rnacentral:rRNA from 1 species
CCUACGGGAGGCAGCAGUGAGGAAUAUUGGUCAAUGGCCGAGAGCCUGAACCAGCCAAGUAGCGUGAAGGAUGACUGCCCUACGGGUUGUAAACUUCUUUUAUCAAGGAAUAAAGUGAGGCACGCGUGCCUUUUUGUAUGUACUUUAUGAAUAAGGAUCGGCUAACUCCGUGCCAGCAGCCGCGGUAAUACGGAGGAUCCGAGCGUUAUCCGGAUUUAUUGGGUUUAAAGGGAGCGUAGAUGGGUUGUUAAGUCAGUUGUGAAAGUUUGGGGCUCAACCGUAAAAUUGCAAUUGAUACUGGCAGCCUUGAGUACAGGUGAGGUAGGCGGAAUGCGUGGUGUAGCGGUGAAAUGCUUAGAUAUCACGCAGAACUCCGAUUGCGAAGGCAGCGUACUAAACUGCCACUGACAUUGAUGCUCGAAAGUGUGGGUAUCAAACAGGAUUAGAUACCCCUGUAGUC